rnacentral:ncRNA from 2 species
UACUGUAUUGGAAGCAAAGAAGAGUCAUCUAUUAUUUGGGCGCUUUAGAUGAUUAUGAGCGAGUAGCGCAACCGACCAUACUUAUG